CUUUUGUGCUGUCGCAGAUGGAUGAGCCUGCGUUGGAUUAGCUAGUUGGUGGGGUAAGGGCCUACCAAGGCUACGAUCCAUAGCUGAUUUGAGAGGAUGAUCAGCCACAUUGGGACUGAGACACGGCCCAAACUCCUACGGGAGGCAGCAGUGAGGAAUAUUGGACAAUGGGGGCAACCCUGAUCCAGCAAUGCCAUGUGUGUGAAGAAGGCCUUAGGGUUGUAAAGCACUUUAGUUGGGGAAGAAAGCUUUGAGGUUAAUAGCCUUGAGGAAGGACGUUACCCAAAGAAUAAGCACCGGCUAACUCCGUGCCAGCAGCCGCGGUAAUACGGGGGGUGCAAGCGUUAAUCGGAAUUACUGGGCGUAAAGGGUCUGUAGGUGGUUUGUUAAGUCAGAUGUGAAAGCCCAGGGCUCAACCUUGGAACUGCAUUUGAUACUGGCAAACUAGAGUACGGUAGAGGAAUGGGGAAUUUCUGGUGUAGCGGUGAAAUGCGUAGAGAUCAGAAGGAACACCAAUGGCGAAGGCAACAUUCUGGACCGAUACUGACACUGAGGGACGAAAGCGUGGGGAUCAAACAGGAUUAGAUACCCUGGUAGUCCACGCUGUAAACGAUGAGUACUAGCUGUUGGAGUCGGUGUAAAGGCUCUAGUGGCGCAGCUAACGCGAUAAGUACUCCGCCUGGGGAACUACGGCCGCAAGGCUAAAACUCAAAGGAAUUGACGGGGACCCGCACAAGCGGUGGAGCAUGUGGUUUAAUUCGAUGCAACGCGAAGAACCUUACCUGGUCUUGACAUCCUGCGAGCUUUCUAGAGAUAGAUUGGUGCCUUCGGGAACGCAGUGACAGGUGCUGCAUGGCUGUCGUCAGCUCGUGUUGUGAAAUGUUGGGUU
rnacentral:rRNA from 1 species